CAGAGACCCGCCCCGGCCCGCAGGACACCCCCUCGGAACGCGCGGCCCCCGGCUAAGUCAUGUUUAACAGCCUCAGAAAUUAUCUUGUCUCCGCGUUCUUUCUUCUGCCGGCGAGCCAGUGUCAUUUGUGGAUUAUUAAAGAAACCUCUCCAUACCUGAUGCAUAAAGAUAGUUAAGGGUAGCUGAAAUACAACAUCAUAAUUUUUACUGGAAAAUAGCCACAAUGAAGGAACACCACAAUUUCACCAUGAAAACCAGCACAACCUUACACAGAUGACAAACAUUUCCCCUCAAAACUUGUUAAACUGUAUUUGGGCUGACCAAAUUAACCAGAGUUAUUCUAUUUAUGGGGGAGCAGGAAGUAACUUGAUAAAAUGCUUUGAGUUUAUAUAUCAUGUCAAAUAAAUAGCAUAAUUUUAAAGGAAAAAAACUUGUUAGGCAAUGUUCUCUUAUUUUCUGACAUCACAUAUUGUGACAGAAUGUAAGGCCAACCUGGUUUUUACAAAUUCCGUGGUCUAAUUUUUUUGUUGUUGUUAGUGUAUAAAAAUAGC
rnacentral:lncRNA from 1 species